CAAUAGCGUAUAUUAAAGUUGUUGCGGUUAAAAAGCUCGUAGUUGGAUUUCUGCUGAGAACGACCGGUCCGCCCUUUGGGUGUGUAUCUGGCUCUUUCUUGGCAUCUUCUUGGUGAACGUUGCUGCACUUGACUGUGUGGAGCGCUACCCAGGACUUUUACUUUGAGGAAAUUAGAGUGUUUCAAGCAGGCAUACGCCUUGAAUACAUUAGCAUGGAAUAAUAAGAUAGGACCUCGGUUCUAUUUUGUUGGUUUCUAGAGCUGAGGUAAUGAUUAAUAGGGAUAGUUGGGGGCAUUCGUAUUUAACUGUCAGAGGUGAAAUUCUUGGAUUUGUUAAAGACGAACUACUGCGAAAGCAUUUGCCAAGGAUGUUUUCAUUAA
rnacentral:rRNA from 1 species